CUAGAGACGGCGUACAUAUCUUGCCUUUGGCAUUUCCCUGGACGUUAGCUUUGACCCGAGAGGGUAGCGACUAAGUACUAGGACCGGCAGGCGUUGAGUUCCCUGAUCAGGAAACGCGGCCGGU
rnacentral:sRNA from 12 species